rnacentral:rRNA from 1 species
CCUACGUGAGGCAGCAGUGAGGAAUAUUGGUCAAUGGGCGGUAGCCUGAACCAGCCAAGUAGCGUGAAGGGUGACUGCCCUAUGGGUUGUAAACUUCUUUUAUAUGGGAAUAAAGUGCAGUAUGUAUACUGCUUUGCAUGUACCUUAUGAAUAAGGACCGGCUAACUCCGUGCCAGCAGCCGCGGUAAUACGGAGGAUCCGAGCGUUCUCCGGAUUUAUUGGGUUUAAAGGGAGCGUAGGCGGGUUGUUAAGUCAGUUGUGAAAGUUUGCGGCUCAACCUUGAAAGUGCAGUUGAAACUGGCAGCCUUGAGUACGGGAGAGGUAGGCGGAAUUCGUGGUGUAGCGGUGAAAUGCUUAGAUAUCACGAAGAACUCCGAUUGCGAAGGCAGCCUGCUGGACUGUAACUGACGCUGAUGCUCGAAAGUGUGGGUAUCGAACAGGAUUAGAUACCCCUGUAGUC